rnacentral:rRNA from 1 species
UAUAACAUAGAGUUAAUGCAUUGGAUCCCGUUAUAACUCCAUAGUUAAGCGUGCUCAAGAUAGAGUAGUACUGGGAUGGGUGAUUGCCUGGGAAGUCCUAGUGUUUUAC